GAUGAACGCUGGCGGCGUGCCUAAUACAUGCAAGUCGAGCGAACGGACGAGAAGCUUGCUUCUCUGAUGUUAGCGGCGGACGGGUGAGUAACACGUGGAUAACCUACCUAUAAGACUGGGAUAACUUCGGGAAACCGGAGCUAAUACCGGAUAAUAUUUUGAACCGCAUGGUUCAAAAGUGAAAGACGGUCUUGCUGUCACUUAUAGAUGGAUCCGCGCUGCAUUAGCUAGUUGGUAAGGUAACGGCUUACCAAGGCAACGAUGCAUAUCCGACCUGGGAGGGUGAUCGGCCACACUGGAACUGAGACACGGUCCAGACUCCUACGGGAGGCAGCAGUAGGGAAUCUUCCGCAAUGGGCGAAAGCCUGACGGAGCAACGCCGCGUGAGUGAUGAAGGUCUUCGGAUCGUAAAACUCUGUUAUUAGGGAAGAACAUAUGUGUAAGUAACUGUGCACAUCUUGACGGUACCUAAUGAGAAAGCCACGGCUAACUACGUG
rnacentral:rRNA from 1 species